rnacentral:rRNA from 1 species
UACGAAGGGGGCUAGCGUUGCUCGGAAUCACUGGGCGUAAAGCGCACGUAGGCGGCUUUCUAUGUCAGGGGUGAAAUCCUGGAGCUCAACUCCAGAACUGCCUUUGAUACUGGAGAGCUUGAGUCCGGAAGAGGUGAGUGGAACUCCGAGUGUAGAGGUGAAAUUCGUAGAUAUUCGGAAGAACACCAGUGGCGAAGGCGGCUCACUGGUCCGGUACUGACGCUGAGGUGCGAAAGCGUGGGGAGCAAACAGG